CACGUAGGGCGCAAGCGUUGUCCGGAAUUAUUGGGCGUAAAGAGCUCGUAGGCGGUCUGUUGCGUCCGCUGUGAAAACUCGGGGCUUAACCCGCAGCUGCAGUGGAUACGGGCAGACUAGAGGUAGGUAGGGGAGAAUGGAAUUCCCGGUGUAGCGGUGAAAUGCGCAGAUAUCAGGAGGAACACCAAUGGCGAAGGCAGCUCGCUGGGACGUGACUGACGCUGAGACGCGAAAGCGUGGGGAGCAAACAGG
rnacentral:rRNA from 1 species